rnacentral:miRNA from 1 species
ACUCUCAGCGGCGGAGAGGAAUCCCUCUCGGCCGGUGAGAGUAUACACUCUCAGCGGCCGGGAGGAAUCCCUCUCGGCCGGUGAGAGAAUCCCUCUCGGUCAAUGAGAGUGUACACUCUCACCGGCCGAGAGGAAUCCCUCUUGGUUGAUGAGAGU